AGUGAACGCUGGCGGCGUGCCUAAUACAUGCAAGUCGAACGGAGUGGCGCACGGGUGAGUAAUAUAUAGCUAAUCCGCCCCUUGCUGGAGGACAACAGUUAGAAAUGACUGCUAAUACUCCAUAUCGAGUGAUGAGACUAUAUCGGAUCAGCUAGUCGGUGGGGUAACGGCCGACCGAGGGGAUGACGCGUAACUGGUCUGAGAGGAUGAUCAGUCACAUUGGAACUGAGACACGAGCGGGACACCUACGGCAGGCAGCCGUAGGGAAUAGUGCGCAAUGGGGGAAUCCCUAACACGGCAACGGCGCGUGGAGGAUGAUACUUUUGGGAGCGGAAGCUGCUUUUAUUAGGGAAGCGGUACCUGACGAAUAAGCACCGGCUAACUCCGUGCCAGCCGCCGCGGUAAUAC
rnacentral:rRNA from 1 species